rnacentral:ncRNA from 1 species
UCCCGUCGAGGUAUUAAUUCACCGGGUUGACUUUAUUUUUAAAUCUGAUCGACCAACUCCAAACUGGUCGAGCGGAGUUUUUCUCGACCAAAAAUUAACUGGCUCAUGAGGGUUAUUACAGACCUGACGAUGCGGGAUGAACCGGAAGCCGGGUUACGGUGUCCAACUGCGCACUAAUCUAGAACCCACAAAGGGUGUUGGUCGAUUAAGACAGCAGGAUGGUGGUCAUGGAAGUCGAAAUCCGCUAAGGAGUGUGUAACAACUCACCUGCCGAAUCAACUAGCCCCAAAAAUGAAUGGCGCUGAAGCGCGUGACCUAUACCCGGCCGUCGGGGCAAGAGCCAGGCCUCGAUGAGUAGGAGGGCGUGGCAGUCGCUGCAAAACCUAGGGCGGAGCGGCCGUCGGUG